UUUAAUGUAGCUUAUGAAGAGUUCAAUAUUGAAGAUAUUGAGGAGGUUUAUGACCCGUAGACA
rnacentral:tRNA from 1 species